rnacentral:rRNA from 1 species
GCAGGCUGCAACCCGCCCUGUAUGAAGUUGGAAUCGCUAGUAAUCGCGGAUCAGCAUGCCGCGGUGAAUACGUUCCCGGGCCUUGUACACACCGCCCGUCACACCAUGGGAGUCGGGAAUGCCCGAAGUCAGUGACCCCAACCGGAACGGAGGGAGCUGCCGAAGGCAGGCUCGAUAACUGGGGUGAAGUCGUAACAAGGUACC